GCUCCCAUGGCGUAGUGGUCACUGCACUCGCCUUGCACGCGGGAGACCCGGGUUCGAUUCCCGGUAGGGUCA
rnacentral:tRNA from 1 species